UGUACAGUACACUGGGCUUCAAAAUGACUCUGUCAACGCAUACCCAUUAACCACCGGUGCGUAUAGCGCUAUCGCUGUGGGCAUUACCACUUUUAUGGCGUCCAACGUACAGUGUACGUCAAAAAUUCUGUUUAUUUUGAACACCUGCAUUCCUUACAAAGGUAAAGGGUAAAGCUCGAUCCAGCGACCUCCUUUGGCCUUGAUUUUUUCUUGUAUCCCGCGAAAUGCAGCUUCUCAGUGACAUUAGAAGGGGAUACUGGGGAAACGGGAAUAUUGGGCACGAGUGGAACAGCGUGGACGUGCUGAUCGACGGGCGCGCGAAACCGGUCGUCUCUAUAGCGCAUCCGGUAUAAAUGCGGUGCACCCUGUAUAUAUGCACAUGGAAGCGUAGCUCGGCGCUGUCGACGGUCCCGCUGUAACCCGCGGGCAACAAUGCGGCGCGCGAAACCGGUCGUAUAUACAUUGCAUCCGGUUUAUAUGCAACGCGCAUUAUAUAUACAUUUCUGUAUUUCUAUAUUUCUGUAUUUCUUUUCUAUAUUUCUAGUUUUCUGUAUUUCGGCAUUCAAUACUACUUUCUUCUUGAUAUACUGAUCUGUUAAUAAUUUCUAUUCGAAAAACCAAAAAAGCUCCACACAACGA